GGGGGCUUUGGUGUGAAAAAUUUGGUUGAUUAUAUAGGGAAUCACAGAAGCAUGACUGGAGCGGGCAUCCCUUUAGGUCAGUCAGCGACCACCCCCCCCCCUUUAUGAAAAGUUCUGGAUCCGCCACUGUAUGUUCACAGAGAUUGGCAACUGUAGCAGUGGUAAGCAAAUUCAAUUGAAAAUAUUCAUCCGACGAGACUUUAACGAGAG
rnacentral:lncRNA from 1 species